rnacentral:rRNA from 1 species
CGGGUGAGUAACACGUGGAUAACCUACCUAUAAGACUGGGAUAACUUCGGGAAACCGGAGCUAAUACCGGAUAAUAUAUUGAACCGCAUGGUUCAAUAGUGAAAGACGGUUUUGCUGUCACUUAUAGAUGGAUCCGCGCUGCAUUAGCUAGUGGGUAAGGUAACGGCUUACCAAGGCAACGAUGCGUAGCCGACCUGAGAGGGUGAUCGGCCACACUGGAACUGAGACACGGUCCAGACUCCUACGGGAGGCAGCAGCU